CUACACGACCGUACCGCAAACCGACACUGGUGCGCGAGAUGAGUAUUCUAAGGCGCUUGAGAGAACUCAGGAGAAGGAACUCGGCAAAUUGACACCGUAACUUCGGAAGAAGGUGUGCCUUUAGUAGGUGAAGUCCCUCGCGGAUGGAGCCCAAUGAGGUUGCAAAAAAUCGGUGGCUGCGACUGUUUAUUAAAAACACAGCACUCUGCAAACACGAAAGUGGACGUAUAGGGUGUGACGCCUGCCCGGUGCUGGAAGAUUAAAUGAUGGGGUGCAAGCUCUUGAUUGAAGUCCCAGUAAACGGCGGCCGUAACUAUAACGGUCCUAAGGUAGCGAAAUUCCUUGUCGGGUAAGUUCCGACCUGCACGAAUGGCGUAACGAUGGCCACACUGUCUCCUCCUGAGACUCAGCGAAGUUGAAAUGUUUGUGAUGAUGCAAUCUCCCCGCGGAAAGACGGAAAGACCCCAUGAACCUUUACUGUAGCUUUGUAUUGGACUUUGAACAGAUCUGUGUAGGAUAGGUGGGAGGCUUUGAAGCAGGGUCCUAGAUCUUGUGGAGCCAACGUUGAAAUACCACCCUGGUGUGUUUGAGGUUCUAACCUAGGCCCGUAAUCCGGGUUGGGGACAGUGCAUGGUAGGCAGUUUGACUGGGGCGGACUCCUCCCAAAGUGUAACGGAGGAGUUCGAAGGUACGCUAGUUACGGUCGGACAUCGUGACGAUAGUGCAAUGGCAUAAGCGUGCUUAACUGCGAGACUGACAAGUCGAGCAGAUGCGAAAGCAGGACAUAGUGAUCCGGUGGUUCUGUAUGGAAGGGCCAUCGCUCAACGGAUAAAAGGUACUCUGGGGAUAACAGGCUGAUACCGCCCAAGAGUUCAUAUCGACGGCGGUGUUUGGCACCUCGAUGUCGGCUCAUCUCAUCCUGGGGCUGUAGCCGGUCCCAAGGGUAUGGCUGUUCGCCAUUUAAAGAGGUACGUGAGCUGGGUUUAAAACGUCGUGAGACAGUUUGGUCCCUAUCUUCCGUGGGCGCUGCAGAUUUGAGGAAGCCUGCUCCUAGUACGAGAGGACCGGAGUGGACGCACCUCUGGUGUAUCGGUUGUCACGCCAGUGGCAUUGCCGAGUAGCUAUGUGCGGAAGAGAUAACCGCUGAAAGCAUCUAAGCGGGAAACUCGUUUCAAGAUGAGAUCUGCCGGGGCCUUGAGCCCCCUGAAGAGUCGUUCAAGACCAGGACGUUGAUAGGUCGGGUGUGGAAGCGCAGUAAUGCGUUAAGCUAACCGAUACUAAUUGCUCGUGCGGCUUGACCAG
rnacentral:rRNA from 1 species